AGGGCAAACAGAAGAAACGGAAUCUGAAACUCUCUAGGGAAACUUGGGAAGGGUCUUAUAGGCAGUAGGCUGACCUGAGAACUCAGAGGAAGCCUGGUUUUUCAUCCAAAUUGCAUUCCAGCGCAACCCAAAUAGCUUACCUUUUUGGGACCUUGUGAGUGGGAAUUGUCUGUUUCUUUAGAAAGGACAGCUAGAGCCUUUGUAAAAUUUUUGGUCAUAUCUUAACGUAUUAUAAAUAACAUCAAAUGGGAAGAAUGGCCAGCUUAAACCACACAAUGCUUUUUUAUUGUAGAAAUUACAUAGCAAGGAACAUCUUGGAUGAUUCCUGUAAUUAGCCCACUCUUUGCAUAAAAACUAUCUGUAGUGAAGAGAGACUCUAAUGAGAAACAUCCUUAUACUUCCAUAUUAGUAUUAAUGGGACAUAUACUUGAGCACUGAUGGAACCAAUACAGAACUAGGAGGAUUUUAUUUUUCAGUUUUGGACACUUGCUGAAUUGCACUCUAAAUUUUUAAUGUGAAUUGUCAGGUUAAUUAAAACUUUCUUAACAAGACUGAUAAGAGUUGGUUCAGACAAGGAAGAAACACUGUAUUAAUAGAUUACGGCAACUUACGCUGCAAUCCAAUGUGAGUUUCUUCAGGGGAAGACAGACACUUUUUUUAAAAAGCACAAUGGGGACUCUUGGAAGCACCCUCAUGGCUUUAAGCCAAACUGUGCCUUUCAGCUCCAGCUCUGGGGGAAAUGGUUUUGUAAAUGUGAAGCACUAGCUGGAUCAGUGCUGAUAUGCUGGGCCUGUAUGUUGUCAUCCAAAAUCAACUCCAUCCCCCAAUUUCUGUAGCACUUUUUAUAACGCUCCCCCCAAAUUAUUAUUAAAAUGAAUAAAUUAUUAUUUAUUACUAAAAUGAGAAAGGGAUAAACAAAUGCAUUAACAUUAUUUUGGAACUUAGCUUAAUAAAAGCACAGCCUGAAGCAUGGGGGAAGGCUAUUGGCUGGGCCAAAAUUUGAUUUUCUAGUAUGCAUGUAAUUUCAUUUGUGAAACUGGGAAGAAGUUGGGCCAAUCUUACAGCCAAGGGACUCACUGUUAGCUUUCUUUUUAUGUUACGCCUAUCUUCACUCUUCAGUACUGAGCUGACAUAGAGGCUAAGGUUAUGCUGAUGGUUAAGUUGGUGCAUCUUUAUUUUUAAGUUUUGCAUAGUGUAUUUUUAGAAGGGCAUCUCCUUUUAAAAAAUCAAUUCCUUAAGAAUACUAGAUGACUGCAAUCUUCCCAGUUUGUUUCACCAUCUUGCUUGUUUGAACUUUUAACAGUGGAUUGGAAAACAUACUGCCCGCACAUCCUUUGCCCUUCAUUGUCAGCUGUUCCUCAGCCUCCACAUCUGUCUGCUUCUCCUUCUGCUUUUAGGAGUGCUACCCAAAGGAGAGUGCACUCACUUGGGCCCUCAGGCCAGGCCCCAGGCCUCCCACCAGCCUUGAUCCUCCUUUGUACUCUCCUCCUUGCUCAGUGCUUGGGUAAUUGUCGCCUCUUGUCGGCUAAUGAUUAUAAAUUAGUAGCUGAGUGUAUAAAAAGUUAAUGAAGUUCUUGUGAGUGGAACCAUUAUGAGUUUCCAGGACAGCACGUAAAGGUUGGCUGCUCCAGUAAAAGAAGCCAGUUGAAGUUUGGCCUUUCAAGGUAUAGAGUUUCAGCUUCUCUUGUUCUGGAUUUCCUGGAGGAAGCCAAGCCUGCAGAACUCCAGCGAGUUUGGAGCAAUGUGAUGCCUGCUAGUUUUGCUGCUGAAAGAGAUGCCUGAAACGAGACCUGUGCCUUGCCCCUCCUCAGUGAAAUUAAAUUAAGUUAACAAAGCAAUGAAUAAUAGGAAAAUGGGCUUUGUUUCUAAAGUAUUGAAAUAACAAAAUGAAUGACAGUGGAAAACUAUACACUUUGUUAAGUCAGUUACUACAGAGAAGGCAUGGAUAUUACAGCAUUUUGCUUUUGUGAAUUGCUUGUAAGUUUUUACAGGGCUGCCUCUGUCUCCUCCUCCCUCUCCCCCCCUCCCCUACCCACGCAUGUAUGCACACUGAUGGCUCAUCAGGGUAAGGCCUGGAAUGCUUCAGUACCAGGGUGCCAUGUGAAGGUGCCGAUCUGUAUAGAGACUGCAUUAUCCCAUGGACUUGGUACAUGUUUCUGUAAAAAAUAAUAAUACAUACACAAUAUACUUGUACAUGGUUUUUGGUCUCUGAAUUCAUUAAGGUAUUAGAAAGAACACAGAUUAAAACUAUCAAAUGGAAGAAUGAAACCUCAGUUUCUUUAAUUCCAAUUUCCUUCUCCUUGCUGUACCCCAGCAAGGAGCCAUUUCCUCUCCCUCUCCCUCAAGAAAUUUUUGAUGCAUUACUUUCAUGACUUCUUACCUCCCUGCUUUUUUUGCAGUGUUCUUCGUACCUCUCUCUCCUCCUGCAGCACCAGUGAGCAUGUGUGAAGUAACUGGAGCAGGAUUGGAAGCAAAGUGCCAAUUGUUUCAGCAGCAUGCACUGGCAUGUUCACAUCACUAUUCUUUAUUUUAACUAUGUUUUAAUAUGAUGGGCAAACUAUCAUGGUUGAGCUUCUUAAACCACUAUGGAUUGAAAUAGAAGUCUUUUCUUUUACCAACAUAGGUUUUCCAGGACCUUACUUGAGAGAUGAUGCUUGCACCUUUAAAUUACAUGAACCGUUGAGCAAAACUGCAGCAGGUCACAGUGCCUUCCUUCACUUCUGCUCAUCCUUCUACCUCACUUGCUGUGCUUAACAAUAUUCUAAUUUUGCCCCACAGCAGCCUUGAUGAUGGGGGAAGCCAUAGCUGUCUCCAUCCUGCCUCAGUGUUUUGGAGUAUUUUAAAGCAUAGUGGGAACCAACUGCUAAGUGAAGUGACUGUAAAGGUUGCUUCCUUUUAAUCUGUGUGUAUUGUAUAAACUUAUAUUUCUUCUUUUUAAGCAAGGUAUCAGUCCUUAUGGAUUCUUGUUAACAUAUGGAAAAUGCCAUGGAGACUUGGGAAGGGCUUCUCUCAUUCAGGGGCCAAAGUGUUUUACUUGGUCACUUCCUUGUUUACCUUGAUGUAGAAAAAUAGCUAAAGGAGCUGAAAACCAAGACCAAAUAAACCAAAUGAAGAGAACCUAUAAGCGUUUUCCUCAAUUUGCCUUUAGUCUGCUCUCUUUUUAAUUCACUUCUCCCAUUAUUCCCCUUCUUCAAAUCCUUUCUUUCCUUUCUGUCAAAUAAAGCAUUUUUCUUUCCUCCCUGCACUGCCCAUUACCUUUACACCCAAAAAUUUACCUUAUUUUUGUGAUUGUAUCCAUGUAUUCUUUUGUAAUUGUAACCAAGUGUGGUUUUUUUAUAAUUGUAUCCAGGUAAUUUUAAAUUGUAUCUAGUUUUGUUUUUGUUUUUUCUCUUGUAAUUGUGUCUUUACUCCUUGUAAAUGUGAAUCCUUACUGUGACCCUCAUGCAAUUGCUACAUUUGGCGCCUUUGCAAAUGGCAUUAACCCCUUUGUAUCCUUGUGCCUUAUCAGUGUUUGUUCAAUUUCUCAAUGAUUGCAACUACUUUUAGGAAUAUAAGAAAUGGAACCCAUGUAUUCAAAUUGCAUCACUUUAUUGUAACGAUGAAAGUAUAAAUGUUAUUUUUAGCCUCAGCCUAAUCACUUCCACUCAGCUCCCCUUCCUCCUUUCGUAAAGUGCCAGACGACCAGAUCCAUCUCAUUUGCCAUCCUUUCCUGGAUUUCUAGGCAUGACCUUACUCGUGUAGAUAAGAUUUGCACCCUACUUUGUAUCUUGCACCCAAACCUCCCUUUUGCACCCUGCACCCAUGUACCUCCCCCUUGUAAAUUGACGAACCUCUGAUGAAAAAGACCACCCACAAUUGCGACUAUAAAAUUCUGGACUUGCCUUUGGACAGGGUUCCUCAUACCUUUUGUCACCUUUGCGUCGGGAACCCGGUUGCAACCGAAUAAAGGAUCUUUGCUCUUAAAAAGCCGCUUGCUUCUUUCUCUCCUUGGUUGGACAUCACCCGUCUUCUUCAACCGUAGCAGAGCCUUUUGGGGCUCCGAACCCAAAUUCUAAGUGUUUUGCAUCAACCUCACGUUUAUUCUUUUGUGCAUGUGAGUGAUUCUGCUAAUAUAGAAUCCUGUCUCUAAGAACCCUUCUGUUAUUAGUCUAUUUGGGAGAAUCUGAAACUCAAAAACAAAAUAUUGCCUUUAUUAAUUAACACAGUUCUAGUAUAUACGUACUGUAUAUACUUGAGUAUAAGCUGACCCAAAUAUAAGCCGAGGCACCUAAUUUUACCACAGAAAACUGGGGAAACUUAUUGACUUUAGUAUAAGCCGGUUCACCACACCACAAACCUGGUGGUGGUGGCAGCGGUGGAGGAAGAACAAGCAGCCCGAAAGGACCCUCACUCGAGCAUAAGUCGAGGGGGGCUUUUUCAGCAUUAAAAAUGUGCUGAAAAAGUCAACUUAUACUCGAGUAUAUACGGUAAGUUGCUAACCUGCUAAAUCCCCAGUAGCAGACGGGGGCGUGGCAUGGUGGGAUUUACCUCACCUCCUGGCUGCUUACUGGGAGGGUUGUUGGUGCUGUGCAAACACACAGCUGGGUACACCUUAUUGGCUCGGGAGGUGUGUUUGCACAGCACAGUUCUCCCCACCAUCAUGGCCCUCCCACUCUUCCUCCUGGUAAGCAGUAGUGACUCAACUGCUGGGAGGUCAGGUGAGUAUCGCUGUCCUACCGCACCGUCCACUGCUGCCUAUCAUAAGAGUUCAGUCUGGGCAGCUUCUUCUUUUUAAAAUUAAAUACCAUAUCACAUUUUUAAAAAUUGCAGAAUUUGGAAGCCUUUUAAUAUUGAUCAC